AUCGCAGCCAACUUCACUCGCUUCACUUUCUUGGAAAACGUGCAACGGAACGAACAUUCCCUUCGCUACUAAAAUUAAUUAACAAAAUGUAAACCAACAAUAAUAAAGUGCAGCGUGCAAUCGCUGGCAAAUGUGUCUUGAAACAAAAUGGAGUUGAAAUUCAACACGUGCUUGCAGGCCAAAGAUGUUCACCCUAGAUGAUGGAUAUUCCAGACCUCUGUUUAAUUAUGAUGAUAUCCAAAAGGGAGACUUCUUGGUCCACGUGUUGAAAUGUCCAUGAAAAUAUGCUGGACUUUAUCAUCUUAGGACAAAAUAGGACCAAACUGAAGAGAAAGUUGAGAGCAAGAAGAAUUGGAUUUCCUGCCCAAUUGAAGACCGGCCAACCUACUAAGAAGAUUUUCCAAAACGCUUGAAACCUUCAAUGCCAGAUUAAAUUCAUCAACGAUCUACCAAGAUAUGGCUCCUUGGCGGAAAACACCCGUAUCCGGUCAACACGGCGGCGAUGCCAGCGACCAACAGCCCCUGGCUGGGAUCAGAAGAUUUAACAUACAAAAAGAAGAACAAACAACUUGUUUACCACACAUUGAAUAAAAACCUCAAUUUAAAAUAUUAGAAA